rnacentral:rRNA from 1 species
GAUAAACGCUGGCGGCGUGCUUAACACAUGCAAGUCGAACGAAGUUUUUCUUUCGGGAGGAACUUAGUGGCGGACGGGUGAGUAACGCGUGGGUAACCUGCCCUGUACAGGGGGACAACAGCUGGAAACGGCUGCUAAUACCGCAUAAGCCCUUAGCACUGCAUGGUGCAUAGGGAAAAGGAGCAAUCCGGUACAGGAUGGACCCGCGUCUGAUUAGCCAGUUGGCAGGGUAACGGCCUACCAAAGCGACGAUCAGUAGCCGAUCUGAGAGGAUGUACGGACACAUUGGGACUGAGACACGGCCCAGACUCCUACGGGAGGCAGCAGUGGGGAAUAUUGCAAAAUGGAGGAAACUCUGAUGCAGCGACGCCGCGUGAGUGAAGAAGUAUUUCGGUAUGUAAAGCUCUAUCAGCAGGAAAGAAAAUGACGGUACCUGACUAAGAAGCACCGGCUAAAUACGUG